AUUGUGGGCAGGGCCGUGGGAGAGUUGAGCGAGGAGAAGCUGUAGGAAGAGCUCGCGGACUCUUGAGAAACAGCAGGGGAAGUCUCCCGCAAUGACUUCAUAACCAAGUUCUGGGUCCCUGCCUCUGGAGUGCCUGAUGAGACAAAACGGCUCCUCGUCCUGCAUCCCCGCUGCUACUUCCAGAAUUCAGGCCUCGUGGUCUGGAGCCUGCACUGUUCCAUGAGCCUCCUGACCAACCUGGAGGCCUCUGUCUUUCUUCCCUCAGUGAGAUGUGCCUACUUCUCCCUGGAGACGCUCGAGGAAGCAGGAAUGCUGGAGAUGAGAGGCCUCGUCUGCUCAGGGGCUUGUUCUUCUGUCUCUUUCAGAGGCCUCGUCUGCUCAGGGGCUUGUUCUUCUGUCUCUUUGCAGGGCUGUUUUGGACUCAGUAUUCACCUAAGCACUCCAAAUUACCCAGCACACCCUUCCUGCACGGCGCUGUGCUGCACCUUCACUCUGGUCACGGGUCUGGCAGUCGGCUCACCAAUUCCUUCUGCUUUCCUGGGACUCGCCGGCUUUUAGCACUGCAAUUCACUCAGCAAACUGGGACUGUUGGUCACCCU
rnacentral:antisense_RNA from 1 species